CUCUUUGUGCAGUGGCAGUAUCGUAGCCAAUGAGGUUAAUCCGAGGCAUGAUUAUUGCUAAUUGAAAACUUUUCCCAAUACCCUGGCAUGACGACUUGAAAUAUAGUCGGCAUUGGCAAUUUUUGACAGUCUCAAACCU
ensembl:snRNA U4 U4 spliceosomal RNA